AUGUAGGGCGAUCUGUCUUUAAGGGGAGUAAAUUACUCUUUUUUUAAAGAAGAAGAAUCUUAGAUAAUGUUCCCUUUAAGUUAAAUGUCUUGU
rnacentral:pre_miRNA from 1 species